GGCAAACACCUACCUAGUAAGGUAGAGGAAAUUAUGCACCUUAUACAGAGUGUCCUCCAGAUCAUAGGGAGACUGUGAGGGGGAUAAUGAACUCUAGGCUACCUGGAUACCACAGAACAAUCUCUCUGUGGCUCUGAAUCCAACACACUACCAAGGUGGGUUACUUUGACAUACAAUUCCCAGGAACAAGCAUUUAAUUCCAUGGCUUUGAAUGCUCAGGGGCUCAACGUUAACAGGACUCAGCCUUGCCAAUUCACUCACAUGCAACUUGGUACAAGCUGCCAAAUGAAGCCAGGUCAUGUAUUAAUCUGAAGAAAUCAAAGCCUGAGCGUAAAGCAAAACCAGCCCCAUGUAAGGAAGUGGAAACUUGCCACACAGCCCCAGGACUAGAAGCAGGCGACUGAAAAGACACAAAUGAUGGGCCAUUUGCCAUAGGACAUAAUAGACACACAGAGCAGAACUGAGACCAGCAUGCUGUGAGAAAUCAAGCCAGCCAUAGUGUGUACUCAGAAAUAAAGGCACCCAUUGGAGCCCAACCUGUGGCUAUAUCUCCCAGCUGAUUACCCAGAUGCAAUAAAGGAACACAGAAA